CAGGAGAGCACCGGCCCUCGUCGUCUCGGCACCAUGAUGGGGUGAGUCACACGACUGAAAUAGAAGCUGCUAGGGUUGCAAACUUAGUUCUGUUUCCACUGAGUUGAUUGGCAAGCACUUAACUGCUUUUUUUUUUUUUUUUUUCCACCACCACAUGGACGUUUACACCACCCAGAUAAGCCUGCUCCCAAAUCUCCGGUGGCUCACCCACUGGCACCAGGAUAAAAGCGACGUUCUUUCCUCUGGUACAAUAGGUCCCCGUGUGGUGUCCCCUUCAUCUGUGACAGACCACUCUCCAGCUCCGGGAGGCCCUCGCCCCUGCCUGGAACGCUGUACUCCUGCCGAGCAGCUUGUGGGCCUCCGGGCUCACGGCUGCUGCUCCCGGACCCCUGCCCGUGCCUUGGGAGCGUUGCGAGCUUCAGUCGCUCCUCAAACCUCAGCUCAAAUGCCAAGUGUGGCCUUUCUCUCUGGGCCUAUGCUCCUUUACUCCUGAGAUCUUGGCAUGUGGUUUCCAGAAAGCUGUAAUCCUUUCUUUCCAUGGCUUUUGUCAUUAAGCUGAGACCAGAGAACACGCUCUUCCAUCUGUAUUUCCAGCUUGCAUCGUGUUCCACUACAGCUGUGUAACCAAGUCCUCCCAAACUCGCGGCUGCUCCCCCAGGCUGGGGCGGGUGGUUUACUGAACCGAAAAUGUGGCCAGCGCUCAGCUGUGGGAGCUCCCACCAGCAGCCCCUCUGCCGGGAGAGGCCGUUGUGGGGGAGGAUUUGCAGCCUGAGGACCCCAUCCUUGACUCUUGGAAUAGAAUUUGCUGUUAUGAACGUGAGCUGAGGACAAGGAGCUCCUCCGGGGAUGUUCUAGCACGUUUGGCUCUGGAGAAGACGGGAGACAGGAACACGUUCCCUCACGCAGCAGGACCAGGGCCUGUGCUCACCUCUCCCGCUCACCCUGAUGCCCACCACAUGGUCCCAAGAGGGAACAGCGAGCGCCUGGCUGCGGACAGCCGUCCACCCCCUCUUUUCCAGGAAUAUUCCACAACCGGGCCCGUGUGGCAAGAGCACCUAGAGGGACACGAGGGCUGAUGGAGAUGGUGCUUCCCCACCAUCCCUGUCCCUGGCCCGGGUCCCUCUGUCCUCCAGCCUCUGCCCUCUGCCCUCAGAAGGAAGAGCUAGGGCACGGAGGGCAGGACAUUGACUCCCCUGACCUCCUACACUCACGUGUCAUUAGAACUAGCGGACAUGCACCCGGGACGUCUUCCCUCCACCUGCGGGCCCCAGGAAGCUCCACGCUUCUGGAACGUCUGCCGUGGAGGACGAGCUGCUCAAGCAUUCUCAAUCUGUGUAUGUGGUAGCAGGACCAUCACCCCCCGCCCGGGAGUGACCAUGAGCCUCCGUCCCUGCAGACAGGUCACCCUGGAUUGCACAUAGUUCCCCGCGGUCUCAGUUUCUCCUCCGGGCUGGAGGGCGGCCCUGGUGCCUGGUGCAGGAGCAGCAGAGGAGGAUGGCAGGCGGGCCAGCCCCCCAGUGCUCCCUGCGCCCAGCAGGUGCCUCCCGGCUCCCCUCCUGUCUCCCCUGCACCUCAUGCCGCUGGAUCCAGGUCGCGCGUGCUUCCCUCAGAGCCUGGACGCAUCUUUCUGCAGACUUGCCUAUUUCAUGAUAAAUUAUGCUCAAUUUCCGUUUCCUCUUUUUCUCCGAGUACCUGCCUUCCUCCAUCCCUGCAACCUGAGGUCAUCCCAGCCUCUAGCUGAUGGAAACUCAGCGUUGCCCUUUGUCCAACAAGCUACAUCCACAAAAUCUAAGAACAAAAGCUGCCUUCUGGGUGACGGGAGGUCGGUGGGGAGCCACCACUUGGCCACCGAUGGCUGACUUCUGCUGGGGGGCCUCCAGGUGCCUGCGGUGGGCCCUGCUCUGGAGGACAGCGAGCACCCACAAGAGAGAGAAUGCCCAUUUCCAGGUUGCACAUUGCUCUGGGCAUCACGCGUCCAGCAGGACGGUCUGAAGCGCUGGCCCCCAGGAGGCUGGAGUGAAGAAAACAGAGACUCCCAUCUGCUGGGACCUGUCCUGUGUUGUCUGGUCUCUGGUGUGAACUGGAGACCCUUCUCAGUACCUCAGCCACCCCAAAGGCAAGGAAAGGGAAGACCCAGGAGCUGGGAGCACAGGACACUGUAACCAGGGCAAGAAUACCUGUGUACCCCUUGGGUGGGCCAUGGGGAACCCCACCCCGGGCUUCCCAGGAAUUGGGCUUUGUCCAGGAUCUUCCCAUCGUGAGAUCCUGGGCCAUCAGGUUGGAUGUCCAGGCCUCCAGGCCCAUCCGUGUGAGGUCCUCCUGGCUGCACAGUGGCUGCCACACUGGUCCCCAUGGUGGGCAACUGCUGCUCCCGGCUCUGGCCCUCAGCUCUGACCCAUUCCCUGUGUCCCAGGGACAAGCUUCACACAAGUGGUGCUCAGAGAGGCCUGAGAGGGCCUGCCCUAACAAGGUGAAGUGUGACUGGAGGGGGCCUGCCCUAACAAGGUGAAGCACACCUGAGGGGCAGCUGCUUGGGUCUUCAGCAUCCUUGACCAUCUUCACAAAGGAAGGAGAGGGAAGCAUUGGCCAACGAGGUUCCGUUUAAAGAGCUGUUCCUAUGACACUCUGGUUGGAGAACAAAGCCCCGCCGCUUCCCGAGAAACGCACCCUGGCCUGAAACCAAGGAUGCCGUAGCUCUGCAAAGCCUGGCAGGGGAAGAAAUGCCCUCGCUCCGGGUGCAAGCGCCUUCCGCGGGUUCCUGCCCCACCUCCGGCAAACGACUCUCGCUGCCCCCCGGCCUCAGCACUCUGACUGGGUUUAUAGGAUGCAAAGACGGCAGGACAGCAAGAAUAGAGCAAGCCUCCUAUCUCAGGCCAACAGCCAAAAGAGAAGAGGUCACCCCCCGCUCCCGGAACCUCAAGUUACAAGUGAAACAGUCCCCGACAGCCACCCCGCAGAGGCAUCACUACCUCCCAGUGUGUAGGAUCCCAUCUCCUGCCAGGAGUUGGAAUGGGAUUGGAAUGGACCUUGGACUCACGUGAGGGGCUGGGCCGGGUUGGAGCUCCAGCACCCACAACAAAGAAUAAGGAAUAGGGUGUUGGGGGAAAACCUAAGAGCGCGCGCCACCUUGGGAGAACGUGUGGAGCGAGUGGAAACGGUCUGAAGAAAUGCCUGUGUUUCGAGGUUGGACAUGGAGGGGAUGGAGAUGGAGGCGUGAACCCAGGGAAGAUGCUCCUGGAGCUGAGGGCAGACCAGACCCCGCCGAGGAGGCCGAGCCCCUUUGUGCAGAAUGCGGCUGGCAGGUCAGGCAGCAGCACAGGAUGGUGGGAAGGAAUAUGAGGAAACCAGAAGCAACUCCACACAGGUGAUCUGUUUCCCAGGCUCCCAAGGGCUGUCACCCCCAUUUCUCGCCAUGAUUCCUGAGCCAUCUGAUAAUACGUCAGAGGAAUCAGCAUUUGCAAGCUGUGACAUCAUAUGCUUUAUGGGUAAAGCUGACUUUGAGAAUGGGAUAUGUAGCUGCAGUCACAUCAGUGGGCUGAUUCUCAACCCAGAAAUUAGUUGACUUAGGGAAGCAGUGCCGUGCAGGCAGGAGGUGCUCACACAAGAUAGUCAAGGAGAGCAAGGUGGCCUACAGUCAUCAGAGCAGACAGAAAGUCCUCAGUAAAGGCCAGAAACAGGGAAACUGGAUCCCAAAGCUCUGAAAUAAUUCAGGAUAUAUUAACUAGAUUAAAUCCAAGAGCACUGUGUACCCAAAAUGGAACAUUCAUUCUUUAAUCCAUUACACCAACUAUGCCCACCUUCACCAACAGUCCUCAAUAAUAUGAAAAAGAAUGUUUAACAUUCUCCUCCCCCCAAAAAAAUUUGCAAAAACAUAGAAAUGGCCCAAAUUUAAGGAAACACUUUCUCCCAUUGUCAAGUUCUGAGGGAGAGAUUAAAUUCUCUGGUAACUUCAGAUCCAAAUACCGAAGGGAAUAAAGACCAAAACCCAA